rnacentral:rRNA from 1 species
ACAACGGAGAGUUUGAUCCUGGCUCAGGACGAACGCUGGCGGCGUGCUUAACACAUGCAAGUCAAGGGGAAAGUUCUCUUCGGAGAAUGAGUAUACUGGCGCACGGGUGAGUAAUAUAUAAGUAAUCUACCUCUUGGUUGGGGAUAACUCGGCGAAAGCCGGGCUAAUACCGAAUAAUGCAGCGGCACCGCAUGGUGAUGUUGUUAAAGUCCUCGAGACGCCAAGAGAUGGGCUUGUAUCUGAUUAGCUUGUUGGUAGGGUAACGGCCUACCAAGGCGACGAUCAGUAGCUGGUCUGAGAGGAUGAUCAGCCACACUGGAACUGAGACACGGUCCAGACUCCUACGGGAGGCAGCAGUGAGGAAUAUU